UAGGGAAUCUUCGGCAAUGGGGGGAACCCUGACCGAGCCACGCCGCGUGAGUGAAGAAGGUUUUCGGAUCGUAAAGCUCUGUUGUUAAGGAAGAACGAGUGUGAGAAUGGAAAGUUCAUGCUGUGACGGUACUUAACCAGAAAGGGACGGCUAACUACGUGCCAGCAGCCGCGGUAAUACGUAGGUCCCGAGCGUUGUCCGGAUUUAUUGGGCGUAAAGCGAGCGCAGGCGGUUAGAAAAGUCUGAAGUGAAAGGCAGUGGCUCAACCAUUGUAGGCUUUGGAAACUGUUUAACUUGAGUGCAGAAGGGGAGAGUGGAAUUCCAUGUGUAGCGGUGAAAGGCGUAGAUAUAUGGAGGAACACCGGUGGCGAAAGCGGCUCUCUGGUCUGUAACUGACGCUGAGGCUCGAAAGCGUGGGGAGCGAACAGG
rnacentral:rRNA from 1 species